rnacentral:rRNA from 1 species
ACGGCAGAGAUGUCGUUUCCCUUGUGGCCUGUGUGCAGGUGGUGCAUGGCUGUCGUCAGCUCGUGUCGUGAGAUGUUGGGUUAAGUCCCGCAACGAGCGCAACCCUUGUCUCAUGUUGCCAGCACGUAAUGGUGGGGACUCGUGAGAGACUGCCGGGGUCAACUCGGAGGAAGGUGGGGAUGACGUCAAGUCAUCAUGCCCCUUAUGUCCAGGGCUUCACACAUGCUACAAUGGCCGGUACAAAGGGCUGCGAUGCCGUGAGGUGGAGCGAAUCCUUUUAAAGCCGGUCUCAGUUCGGAUCGGGGUCUGCAACUCGACCCCGUGAAGUCGGAGUCGCUAGUAAUCGCAGAUCA